rnacentral:rRNA from 1 species
UAGGGAAUCUUCCACAAUGGGCGAAAGCCUGAUGGAGCAACGCCGCGUGUGUGAUGAAGGGUUUCGGCUCGUAAAACACUGUUGUAAGAGAAGAAUGACAUUGAGAGCAACUGUUCAAUGUGUGACGGUAUCUUACCAGAAAGGAACGGCUAAAUACGUGCCUG